CACUUACAAGAUCAAUGGUAAUAAAAAGCCCAUCUGCAAAAUCUCUGAAGUCACUGGAUCAAUGGUAAAGUGCAAAUGCUAAACCAAAUAGAAUAAUUAAAAAAGUAUAUGUAACAAACCCAAAGCGUUUCGUCUCAUAUGAGACUUCUUCAGAGGUAUAGAAAAAAAAAAAAAUCAAUAUGUCCAUAAAUCAAGUCAGUAUAAUGUCUUAGAUGCAAAACGAGUCUUCUAACCCCUUAAGGACACAUGACAUGGGUUAAAUAUGUUGAAGUCCAUCCCAGGGUUCAAUUCCACCAGCUGGAUCCAUUCACGAUCUUUGACUUUGUGUAGUUAAUGGACCGCACAUGGGUUCCACCUCCUUCCAUGUAUUUUUCUUUACGUUCAUGCAUCAUCACGAAGACAGACACAUCAGUGGAACGUACCCACGGACCUCACCUCUUCCGGGAUAAAAUUGGAAUGCAGAUGCGCUCCAGAUCGCAUUCGUUGCGCUUAAGAUUCAUAAAAAUUAAGCCAGUUCGUCAUACAAAAAAAAAGAGAAGAGAAAAAGGCAAUUAAAAAAGGGGGGAGUGUGAAUCGUUCAUUUACAAAGAAUCUGUA